rnacentral:lncRNA from 1 species
ACAGCCUUCAUAGAAAAUUCUACAGAUAACAACUGGCAAUAGAUAAGAAUUUCACAAAUAAUUCUAAAAAACACAUACAAUUUCAGAAUUCCUGUAAACUAGAAAGAAAUAUUAGAAUUGAUAACCAUCAGUUCACCAAGGUUCAAAUACCGGUCGGUCCACAUUUCACUGCGACCAAGUGUUGGCCUAAACUGUUUUCACGUGCCAUCAUCGUUCAAGUUUGUUCACAACAAUAAAAAAACUUGAAUUAUCAAUUGCCAUGUCAGAGGCAGAGGGACUUUUGAAUAAGAUUAAUUGCAACGCAACGACCACUAGCCCUACUCGGGGCUUCUCUCCACUUCGCAUCGACAUGAGGUACCGCAACUUGAUGAUCACUGAACUACACAAAAUUAAGUUAGCACUAGUUCACAGUUUCAAAAGACUAUUUCUAAGUAUAUAAACAAAUUAAGAUGAAAUGGUAUUAACCAACAUAUUGUAUGUGCAGUGUGCAUAACAAAACCAAGACCACAUUACUUGCGAAAAGAAUAUAAUUUCUUCAAUCUUCUUUGAAGAUCUACAAAGUACUCAGAUUCAGAAUAUCCUAAGAACCAGAUUGUGCGAAAUCAUGUACAUAAACAUUGCCAACUGCUCCUCGACAGCAACACGCGACGUGCCCUUCAAUAGUUCCUCUCUUUUAAGAUAAUCCACGAUAGACUUAAAAAUCUCAGGUUCCAUCUGAAACUCAACCCUAGACCAAUUCUCAUGACCUUCUAAUAUUUCCUUAACCUUUGCAGCCCCGGAUAAAGAUGAUGUGUCAACUGUAUGCUUUUCCUCAUAAAGGCAAGCAUAUAAAGCGGGAACCAAAAGGAAAAAUAGUUCAUCGUCUUCUUCUUGUUCUUGCAAGAUAAUCUAAUUUUAUUUCUCCUAGAAUCCAUCACUAUUAUACCCAAUGAAAACAAAAUUAAUACAACAAUAAUAAUUAUAAAUAAAGCACUAAUAAUACCAUCUCUAUGCUGCAAAGAAAGCUCAGGAGUGAAUACAGAGAUAAUACCACUUCUAUUGUGACAUCUACAUACAUAAUUAAGAGCAACAAUUUUCUCAUAUACUAAAAUAAGAACGCUUUCAUUACUAGGCACAGAAAAAUAACAUCACAAGAGCAGUAGUUUUGCAUAAUUUAAGCUUCCUCAAUGACCAUGUCAAAAGGAUGACUAUGUCACAUACCUUUCUUGCUCUGAGUGAAAUCUUUCGAAAGGCACCAAGCAAUUUUACACAAAGUCUUCAGAUAAAGCCAAUUUCUAAUUUCAGAGCAGACCUACAAAUCAGCACCUACUAGAAAUCAAUGGUCACUCAUGAGUUAGACAAACCAAGCAAAAUAUAUGUUCGAUUCACAACCAAAUAAGCUAGGAUUGAUCAAAUGCAGCUGUGAGUACAGGACACAUGUCAUUCUUCCUGUAUGCCACUCCAUUUUUUAACUAAACAGAACACAAUGAAAUGACUCUAUUACUAUACAUGGUAAGCUAAUAUUCCUUUAGCAAUUCAGGUGGUGAACCAUAAAUUGGAACAUGCUGUUUCAGUUUGGAGCCAACAUACAUAUGCACUAACGCACCAGGAUGGUUGGAUUAAUAUAUGAUAUGUGAUGAUAAGAUAAUACUCCAAGGUUUUGCCUGACAGAUUAACAAACCAAAUGGUUGCUCUUUUACACGCACUUUCAAGACCCUAGAAUGUUUGGAAUAUAAGAUACGACAAGAUAAACAGAGUAUCUCUUGAAAGGACAUUUUGCACCAAUCCUACCUCCUUGAAUUAACCCACCCACAAACAAAUUUGCCCUCUUCACAAUAUACUAGAACAUUGUGCAUAUAGAUUAGCAUAACAGGGAGGUAAGGGUGGCUGUGCUCACUUGUGAGGUCAGGUUAGUUAGAUGCACUGCAAAAUGUUCGAUGUUCUUCAGUACAGCUGCUCACUUGGGUACAAAUUUCAGACAACAGAGAAGGUCCUUCGAUCUGUAUAGGCGCUCGUCAGUUCGUGUAGCAGAAAAGAAAUCACCAUGGCGAAGAAAAAUGGUUAGUGGAAGAGGAGAAGGAGGGGAUAGCCUUGGUCAGAAAGAGGAGGAUGACCUCUGGGCAGAGACGAGAUCCGGGAAGAGGGAGGAUGAUGACCCCGGUCGCCGUUGCCCCCGCCGGAGGAG